rnacentral:rRNA from 1 species
UGAACUCAUAAAACCGUUCUCAGUUCGGAUUGUAGGCUGCAACUCGCCUACAUGAAGCUGGAAUCGCUAGUAAUCGCGGAUCAGCAUGCCGCGGUGAAUACGUUCCCGGGCCUUGUACACACCGCCCGUCACACCACGAGAGUUUGUAACACCCGAAGUCGGUGGGGUAACCUUUAUGGAGCCAGCCGCCUAAGGUGGGACAGAUGAUGGGGGAAGUCGUAACAAGAGCAAGGCGGG